GCAGCUUUCCACCUGCCAGGGUAACAUUCUGUGGGGUGCAAGAGACCACCACCAGCUACCGCACCUCACUGUUACACAGAGACCCUGACAGUGGACAGUUGUACCCACUGACCGUGGCCGCACCAACUAACAAGAAGGUCUUGAGCAAGAUACGCGUGAUACCCCAAGCACCACGGAUCUCUCCCUCUAACCCAUCCACGUGUUCAUCAAGGAGAGGAAAGGCCAGGCUCGGUAGCGCCGUCUGUACAAAAAAGUCUUUUUCUUUUUUUCCUAAAUAAAUGAGUGUAUCUACUAG
ensembl:lncRNA